UGCCCAGCAACUCCUAUCCCUAUUUCCUCGUGGUACUGACUGGGGUACGAGUAACCUAGAGAAAGAUCGGGUAACCAGCCCCCGGUGGGAACUUUGAUCAUAUGCUGACAGAGAAGG
rnacentral:ribozyme from 1 species